rnacentral:lncRNA from 1 species
GGUCGAAUCCACUGUCUCCUGUUGUGUGAGAUACGUUUCGACCCGGAGCUCCGCCAUUAAAAAACCUCUUGUUGUUACAUCAAGGUGUUGUGUUCUAUUCGCGAUUCUUGGGUGCACGCCGAAUCGGGAGCUGAGUGGGGGUUUCCCCACUGAGUUCUUUCAUUACCUGUUCUAUCCGUGAUUGCGUCAAUGAACACACUUUUUGAGAAGUUGUAAUUCUUGGAUGAUUCUGUAUUUUAUUGUGCCAAAUGACUAUGAUGAUAUAUGUUCUAUCUGACUGCUUCACUGAACACAUCUGCUCAGAGUUGUAAUAUUUGUUUCUUUAUGCAUAAAAACCCUUGCAUGAGGACUGCAAAAUAUAUUCAGAUUCAAACUG